GUGAUCGGCCACAUUGGGACUGAGACACGGCCCAAACUCCUACGGGAGGCAGCAGUGGGGAAUAUUGCACAAUGGGGGAAACCCUGAUGCAGCGACGCCGCGUGAAGGAAGAAGUAUUUCGGUAUGUAAACUUCUAUCAGCAGGGAAGAAAAUGACGGUACCUGACUAAGAAGCCCCGGCUAACUAUGUGCCAGCAGCCGCGGUAAU
rnacentral:rRNA from 1 species